rnacentral:rRNA from 1 species
GAGGGGUGCAAGCGUUAUUCGGAAUCAUUGGGCGUAAAGGGUGCGUAGACGGCUUAUCAAGUCAACUGUUAAAUUCUCCGGCCUAACUGGAGGUCAGCAGUAGAAACUGAUAGGCUUGAGGUUGGAAGAGAGAAGUGGAAUUCUCGGAGUAGCGGUAAAAUGCGUAGAUCUCGAGAGGAACACCGAUGGCGAAGGCAGCUUCUUGGUCCAUACCUGACGUUGAGGCACGAAAGCGUGGGGAGCAAACAGGAUUAGAUACCCUGGUAGUCCACGCCGUAAACGAUGAUCACUAGACGUUAAUUCUGCUUGCAGAAUCAGUGUCGUAGCUAACGCGCUAAGUGAUCCGCCUGGGGACUACGGUCGCAAGACUA